rnacentral:rRNA from 1 species
GAUGAACGCUAGCGGCAGGCUUAACACAUGCAAGUCGAGGGGCAGCAUGACACGGAGAUUCGUCGAAGUGUUGAUGGCGACCGGCGCAAGGGUGCGUAACGCGUGAGCAACUUGCCCGUUUCUGGGGAAUAACCGUUGGAAACGACGACUAAUACCCCAUAGUAUCAGAUGGAGGCAUCUUCAUCUGAUUAAAGAAAUUCGGAAACGGAUAGGCUCGCGUGACAUUAGCUAGAUGGCGGGGUAACGGCCCACCAUGGCGACGAUGUCUAGGGGUUCUGAGAGGAAGGUCCCCCACACUGGAACUGAGACACGGUCCAGACUCCUACGGGAGGCAGCAGUGAGGAAUAUUGGUCAAUGGCCGGAAGGCUGAACCAGCCAAGUAGCGUGAAGGAUGAAGGUUCUAUGGAUUGUAAACUUCUUUAUACGGGAAUAAAACCACCUACGUGUAGGUGCUUGUAUGUACCGUAUGAAUAAGCAUCGGCUAACUCCGUGCCAG